rnacentral:rRNA from 1 species
CCGGGGGUACGGGAGGUAAAUAGUCUGGGAAACGGUAAGCCUCGAGUGGAGGGGGGAGGUAACUACUGGAAACGGUAGCUAAUACCGCAUAACGUCGCAAGACCAAAGAGGGGGACCUUCGGGCCUCUUGCCAUCGGAUGUGCCCAGAUGGGAUUAGCUAGUAGGUGGGGUAACGGCUCACCUAGGCGACGAUCCCUAGCUGGUCUGAGAGGAUGACCAGCCACACUGGAACUGAGACACGGUCCAG